AGCACGGGAGACAGAGCACCGGGUGCUAACGUCCGGACUCAAGAGGGAAACAACCCAGACCGCCGGCUAAGGUCCCUAAUAUUGACUAAGUGGAAAACGAAGUGGAAAGGCUAAGACAGUCAGGAAGUUGGCUUAGAAGCAGCCAUCCUUCAAAGAAAGCGUAAUAGCUCACUGAUCGAGUCUUUCUGCGCGGAAGAUGUAACGGGGCUAAGUCAAUAACCGAAGCCGCGGAUUCACACUUGUGUGUGAGUGGUAGGGGAGCGUUCUGUAAGCCUGCGAAGGUGACUCGUAAGGGUUGCUGGAGGUAUCAGAAGUGCGAAUGCUGACAUGAGUAACGUUAAAGCGGGUGAAAAGCCCGCUCGCCGUAAGCCCAAGGUUUCCUGCUCUACGUUCAUCGGAGCAGGGUGAGUCGGCCCCUAAGGUGAGGCUGAGAAGCGUAACUGAUGGGAACAAGGUUAAUAUUCCUUGACCACCGCUGAAUGCGAAGGGGGGACGGAGUAUUGAAGAUCAUCCGGGUGUUGGAUAUCCCGGUUUGCGAGCGUAGGAGGCUGACAGGCAAAUCCGUCAGCGAAUCUCCGAGGCGAAGCAUCGAGCUCUCUUUUGAGCGAAGUGAUUGGAUGUGCUUCCAGGAAAAGCCUCUAAGCUCCAGUUCAGCGGGACCGUACCGCAAACCGACACUGGUGGGCGAGCUGAAUAUGCUCAGGCGCUUGAGAGAACUCAGGAGAAGGAACUCGGCAAAUUGACACCGUAACUUCGGGAUAAGGUGUGCCUUUGUAGCGUGGAGGGAGAAACACCCCGAGCGCGAAGAGGUCUCAGAUAAUCGGUGGCUGCGACUGUUUAUUAAAAACACAGCACUCUGCAAAGACGAAAGUCGACGUAUAGGGUGUGAUGCCUGCCCGGUGCUGGAAGAUUAAUUGAUGGGGUGCAAGCUCCUGAUCGAAGUCCCAGUAAACGGCGGCCGUAACUAUAACGGUCCUAAGGUAGCGAAAUUCCUUGUCGGGCAAGUUCCGACCUGCACGAAUGGCAUAACGAUGGCCACACUGUCUCCUCCUGAGACUCAGUGAAGUUGAAGUGUUUGUGAUGAUGCAAUCUCCCCGCGGCUAGACGGAAAGACCCCAUGAACCUUUACUGUAGCUUUGCAUUGGACUUUGAACCGAUCUGUGUAGGAUAGGCGGGAGCCUGUGAAACCACAACGCCAGUUGUGGCGGAGGCGUCCUUGAAAUACCGCCCUGAUUUGUUUGAGGUUCUAACCUGGGACAGUCAUCCUGUCCGGGGACCGUGCAUGGUAGGCAGUUUGACUGGGGCGGUCUCCUCC
rnacentral:rRNA from 1 species